rnacentral:rRNA from 1 species
AAUAGAUACCCCGGUAGUCCACGCCGUAAACGUUGGGCACUAGGUGUGGGUCUCAACCAACGAGAUCCGCGCCGUCGCUAACGCAUUAAGUGCCCCGCCUGGGGAGUACGGCCGCAAGGCUAAAACUCAAAGGAAUUGACGGGGGCCCGGCACAAGCAGCGGAGCGUGUUGCUUAAUUCGAUGCAACGCGAAGAACCUUACCUGGGUUUGACAUGGACGGAAAAGCUCUAGAGAUAGGGUGUCCUUUUGGGCCGUUCACAGGUGGUGCAUGGCUGUCGUCAGCUCGUGUCGUGAGAUGUUGGGUUAAGUCCCCGCAACGAGCGCAACCCGUUAUCCUAUGUUGCCAGCAUUUAGUUGGGGACUCGUAGGAGACUGCCGGGGUCAACUCGGAGGAAGGUGGGGAUGAUGUCAAGUCCUCAUGCCCCUUAUGCCCAGGGCUGCAAACACGCUACAAUGGCCGGUACAGAGGGCUGCGAUCCCGGCGAGGGUGAGCGAAUCCCACGAAAGCCGGUCUCAGUUCGGAUUGGAGUCUGCAACUCGACUCC